rnacentral:rRNA from 1 species
GGGAGGCAGCAGUGAGGAAUAUUGGUCAAUGGGGGCAACCCUGAACCAGCCAUGCCGCGUGAAGGAUGACUGCCCUAUGGGUUGUAAACUUCUUUUUUUAGGGACGAAACUGCUUUACGUGUAGAGUACUGACGGUACCUAAAGAAUAAGCAACGGCUAACUCCGUGCCAGCAGCCGCGGUAAUACGGAGGUUGCAAGCGUUAUCCGGAUUUAUUGGGUUUAAAGGGUGCGUAGGCGGGAUUAUAAGUCAGUGGUGAAAACCUGCAGCUUAACUGUAGAACUGCCAUUGAUACUGUAAUUCUUGAGUAUAGUUGAGGUGGGCGGAAUGUGUAAUGUAGCGGUGAAAUGCUUAGAUAUUACACAGAACACCGAUUGCGUAGGCAGCUCACUAAACUAACACUGACGCUGAGGCACGAAAGCGUGGGGAUCAAACAGGAUUAGAUACCCUGGUAGUCCACGCCGUAAACGAUGAUUACUCGAUGUGUGCAAUAUAUCGUACGCGUCUAAGCGAAAGCAUUAAGUAAUCCACC